rnacentral:piRNA from 1 species
UAUGGCCAGAACUUUUGA